GAUGAACGCUGGCGGCGUGCCUAAUACAUGCAAGUCGAGCGAACAGACGAGGAGCUUGCUCCUCUGACGUUAGCGGCGGACGGGUGAGUAACACGUGGAUAACCUACCUAUAAGACUGGGAUAACUUCGGGAAACCGGAGCUAAUACCGGAUCAUAUAUUGAACCGCAUGGUUCAAUAGUGAAAGACGGUUUUGCUGUCACUUAUAGAUGGAUCCGCGUCGCAUUAGCUAGUUGGUAAGGUAACGGCUUACCAAGGCAACGAUGCGUAGCCGACCUGAGAGGGUGAUCGGCCACACUGGAACUGAGACACGGUCCAGACUCCUACGGGAGGCAGCAGUAGGGAAUCUUCCGCAAUGGGCGAAAGCUUGACGGAGCAACGCCGCGUGAGUGAUGAAGGUCUUCGGAUCGUAAAACUCUGUUAUUAGGGAAGAACAAAUGUGUAAGUAACUAUGCACGUCUUGACGGUACCUAAUCAGAAAGCCACGGCUAACUACGUG
rnacentral:rRNA from 1 species